AUGGCGUCUGCGCCGGUGGAGAAGCUCAAGAGCCUGUGGAACUCCCAGGUCAUGGACGAGGAGCAGUGGGCGGUCAACUAUAGAGUGCUAAAGGCUGCGGGGAUAUUUGCUGGAUCCAUCUUUUUGAUGCGCACCUUUGGUGACAUGAUGGUAGUUUAA
rnacentral:rRNA from 1 species